rnacentral:rRNA from 1 species
UUGUGCUUGCACAGAUGACGACCGGCGCACGGGUGCGUAACGCGUAUAGAACCUACCUUUUACAGAGGAAUAGCCUUUAGAAAUGAAGAUUAAUACCUCAUGGUAUUGUAGACUGGCAUCAGUUUAUAAUUAAAGAUUUAUCGGUAAAAGAUGGCUAUGCGUCCUAUUAGUUAGUUGGUAAGGUAACGACUUACCAAGACAGCGAUAGGUAGGGGUCCUGAGAGGGAGAUCCCCCACACUGGUACUGAGACACGGACCAGACUCCUACGGGAGGCAGCAGUGAGGAAUAUUGGACAAUGGAGGAGACUCUGAUCCAGCCAUGCCGCGUGUAGGAAGAAUGCCCUAUGGGUUGUAAACUACUUUUAUACAGGAAGAAACACUGGUAUGUAUACCAGCUUGACGGUACUGUAAGAAUAAGGACCGGCUAACUCCGUGCCAGCAGCCGCGGUAAUACGGAGGGUCCGAGCGUUAUCCGGAAUCAUUGGGUUUAAAGGGUCCGCAGGCGGUCUAUUAAGUCAGAGGUGAAAUCCCAUAGCUCAACUAUGGAACUGCCUUUGAUACUGGUUGACUUGAGUCAUAUGGAAGUAGAUA